UACAGAGGGGCAAGCGUUGUUCGGAAUUACUGGGCGUAAAGGGCGCGUAGGCGGCCCGCUAAGUCGAACGUGAAAUCCCCGAGCUCAACUCGGGAACUGCGUCCGAUACUGGCGGGCUUGAAUCCGGGAGAGGGAUGCGGAAUUCCAGGUGGUAGCGGUGAAAUGCGUAGAUAUCUGGAGGAACACCGGUGGCGAAGGCGGCAUCCUGGACCGGCAUUGACGCUGAGGCGCGAAAGCUAGGGGAGCAAACGGG
rnacentral:rRNA from 1 species